rnacentral:lncRNA from 1 species
AUGGUUAAUCCUUAUAUAUAAUGAGUAAACAUAAAAUGACCAAGAGAGUGAUAUUCAGUGUAAAGCUACAAAACGCUCCAUUAAAUACUAAAGUGUAAACGAUUACCAUUGGGUUCUAAGCUCUUUAACAGCUCGUUUUGCCUAAUCCACAAAUACAAAAAUUCUGUCACUUGCCCAUAAACUAAAUACUUUCUUUAAAUCCUCCUCCGUAGUACCUUUGUCUAAGCUUCCAACAAAUAUUUCAAAAUCUUUACGCUUACGUCUAUCAUGGAGAACAUCAUGAUGCUCUUCUUACACAUCAACAGCUUCUCCAAACUUGAC